rnacentral:rRNA from 1 species
UACGUAGGGUGCAAGCGUUGUCCGGAAUUAUUGGGCGUAAAGAGCUUGUAGGCGGUUUGUCGCGUCUGCUGUGAAAUUUCGGGGCUCAACCCCGAACUUGCAGUGGGUACGGGCAGACUAGAGUGUGGUAGGGGAGACUGGAAUUCCUGGUGUAGCGGUGAAAUGCGCAGAUAUCAGGAGGAACACCGAUGGCGAAGGCAGGUCUCUGGGACGGUACUGACGCUGAGACGCGAAAGCGUGGGGAGCGAACAGG